rnacentral:rRNA from 1 species
GACGAACCGUGCGAACGUUGUUCGGAUUCACUGGGCUUAAAGGGCGCGUAGGCGGACCCGCCAGUCUGGGGUGAAAUCGUUCGGCUUAACCGGACCAUUGCCUUGGAUACUGCGGGUCUCGAGGGAGGUAGGGGCAUGCGGAACUUCCGGUGGAGCGGUGAAAUGCGUUGAUAUCGGAAGGAACUCCGGUGGCGAAAGCGGCGUGCUGGAUCUCUUCUGACGCUGAGGCGCGAAAGCCAGGGGAGCAAACGGG